UUUCUCUUUUGAUGGAAAUAAGUGGGGACAAAAUGGACCAUAUUUGGUUUCAAGAGUGGUAGAAAGAUUGAUGACCUCUACACAAAAAAGUCAGUUGAAAUUUACCACGAAUAUCAUUUUAUCCAGUUGAUUGGAUUCGAAUUCCUGGAUUCUUCAUGAAAUCAAAUACAAGAAGUCAUUCAAGAUGGAUAGAAGCCAAAUUGCUUCAACUUAGUGGUGAAACUUAUGGAGUGCACCUUUGGAACAAGCAGAGUAGUAGUCUGAAAAUUGAACAAGGAAGUCUUAUAGGGAGAUUGAUUUCUGAACAUUGUUUGUUAUGUAAAAAUAUUUACAGUUCAUAAAAAGAAAUCUCACUUGUGAAUUGAAUUCUUUAAUUUCAUAUUUGUAAAAAGUUUUCAUAACAAGUUCUUGAUCAUUAUCUAAGCUUUAAUAAGCUCAAGUAAGAAGAACUUCAUUUCUUGUUCUUUAUUUCUUUAUGUCACUGUCACUGGUCUGAUGAACUUUUGAUUUCAAUAUCAAACUGUUUCUUUCUCAAUGUCUAUACAUGUUUAAAAAACACUAAAAUUUCUAUGUGGCUCCUACUUGUAUUUUUUAAGACACGGUUUAGCAUUUUUCAGAAUUGUUCAUUAGCAUAUAUAUGGUUUACUUGAAUAGAGAUUUGUAUGUUUUGGAUAUUAGCUUUCACUGACAGUCGAAUGCUUUUGCACUUUCUUUUAAUAUUUUGUAAUUAAAGCAUUUGAUAAAAAUGUUAUGCUCUCCUUUUACUGAAAAUUUAAUCUUACAUCAUUAUAUUAUUAUUAAAAUACAAUGUUGGACCCGUGACCAUCUAAUAAUAUAACUUAUGCAAACACUUUGUGGAUGGAUGCAGGGUAUGCACACACUUUGUGGAUGGAUGCUGGGUAGAGGGCAGUUGUAGCCUGUAGGAUUGGGUAGAGAUCAAGAUUGGACUGCAUGUCAGUGACGUAUGGAGUGUGUUACUUGUGGGUUCAUGAAACUCAAUAGUGUAAGUAUAUAUUAAAAAAUUUACUUACUAAAUAUUUAAAUGUAAAUAUUUUUGAAAUAUAAAUAUUUAAAUAUAAUUAUUUUUUUUA